rnacentral:rRNA from 1 species
GACGAACGCUGACGGCGUGCUUAACACAUGCAAGUCGAACGGAAAGGCCCUGCUUUUGUGGGGUGCUCGAGUGGCGAACGGGUGAGUAACACGUGAGUAACCUGCCCUUGACUUUGGGAUAACUUCAGGAAACUGGGGCUAAUACCGGAUAGGAGCUCCUGCUGCAUGGUGGGGGUUGGAAAGUUUCGGCGGUUGGGGAUGGACUCGCGGCUUAUCAGCUUGUUGGUGGGGUAGUGGCUUACCAAGGCUUUGACGGGUAGCCGGCCUGAGAGGGUGACCGGCCACAUUGGGACUGAGAUACGGCCCAGACUCCUACGGGAGGCAGCAGUGGGGAAUAUUGCACAAUGGGCGGAAGCCUGAUGCAGCAACGCCGCGUGCGGGAUGACGGCCUUCGGGUUGUAAACCGCUUUCGCCUGUGACGAAGCGUGAGUGACGGUAAUGGGUAAAGAAGCACCGGCUAACUAUGUG